UACGUAGGUGGCAAGCGUUGUCCGGAUUUACUGGGCGUAAAGGAUGCGUAGGCGGACAUUUAAGUCCGAUGUGAAAUACCCGAGCUUAACUUGGGUGCUGCAUUUGAAACUGGGUGUCUAGAGUGCAGGAGAGGUAAGUGGAAUUCCUAGUGUAGCGGUGAAAUGCGUAGAGAUUAGGAAGAACACCAGUGGCGAAGGCGGCUCACUGGACCAUUACUGACGCUGAUGCACGAAAGCUAGGGGAGCAAACAGG
rnacentral:rRNA from 1 species